AGGAUGUAUGAAACGGGAAUUAAACCAGGGAGACUACUAGCAAGAUUGGUUAAAGGCUCACCUUCGCUGUAUUCUUCUCCGACGUGUCUGCAAGAUAUCCCAUCUGAUGACCCAGGAUUGCCAUCUCUGCCAGGGCUGCCAUUGUUUCGCCUACACUAAAAACAAGGGGCGGGAGGCUUAAGCAAGGUACUGGAAGGGGUAACUCCUGUGGUGCUUUUGUAGGAUUCCCAAUACAGCGGUACAUGAAGUGACGUCGAAGUGACCGACUGAAAGGGAACGUGCAAAUGGGUGGGUUAGCAGCAAGUGGGUGGAGCUUUAGCCGCAAGUGGGCUGUACAAACUUCCAGAGGAUUCACCACCGUCCCAUUUGAAGCGUAAACUGUGUCAUAUUUGUAGUCAAAAUGUAACAUCAAUUUCGAAUUUGGUGCCUAUUUGACAGAGAAAAUGAGUGUUUGUAGUCUCACCUCCUUUACAAAGAUAUAGGACUUCGUUCUUUCAAUGAUGCAAAAUUAUGAUUUUUACAUCAUUGAAAGAAGGAAGUGCAACACUGAAAUCCAUAUUUCUCCUGUCUCAGGGGAAACAGAGGGAAUAAUGCACGACCAUUCAAAAACAUGACUGUGUUUCUAUACACAGCUUAAUGCAAAUGGGUGAAGUGUCCCUUUAAGUCAUCAAAUAUUUAUAUAUCAGUAUGGUUAAAAACAUUUGGUAAUUUUUUAUUGUAAGAAAUUUAUGCUAAUGACAAGCUAAAGUGCAGAAUGAUGUCACAAAAAUGUGCACUAAGCUAAAGAUAGAAUGGAAAAAACUUUUUGGUUAUGACUAGUGAUGCACCGAUGUAUCCAUUAUAUGUAAAAAAAUGAGUUAAUGUUGUUAAUAAAAUAAAUGCUGAAUAGCAAAAACCACCUUUUGUAGGUUGUCAUGCUGUCUUAUUAUAUUAGUUUUAGCUUAAUUUGUGCCUCUCCUAUUAU